rnacentral:rRNA from 1 species
UACGGAGGGUGCAAGCGUUACUCGGAAUCACUGGGCGUAAAGGGCGUGUAGCCGGGCUGACAAGUCAGAUGUGAAAUCCGGGGGCUCAACCCCCGAACUGCAUUUGAAACUGUUGGUCUUGAGUAUCGGAGAGGCAGGCGGAAUUCCUAGUGUAGCGGUGAAAUGCGUAGAUAUUAGGAGGAACACCAGUGGCGAAGGCGGCCUGCUGGACGACAACUGACGGUGAGGCGCGAAAGCGUGGGGAGCAAACAGG